rnacentral:rRNA from 1 species
UACGUAGGGUGCAAGCGUUGUCCGGAAUUAUUGGGCGUAAAGAGCUCGUAGGCGGCUUGUCGCGUCGGCUGUGAAAACUCGGGGCUCAACCCCGAGCCUGCAGUCGAUACGGGCAGGCUAGAGUCCGGCAGGGGAGACUGGAAUUCCUGGUGUAGCGGUGAAAUUCGUAGAUAUCGGGAGGAACACCAGUGGCGAAGGCGGCGAUCUGGGAAGAUACUGACGCUGAGGUGCGAAAGCGUGGGGAGCAAACAGG